rnacentral:lncRNA from 1 species
CUAGAACACAGGCAGGACAGAGUCUAGAACACAGGCAGGACAGAGUCUAAAACACAGGCAGGACAGAGUCUAAAACACGGGCAGGACAGAGUCUAGAACACAGGCAGGACAGAGUCUAAAACACGGGCAGGACAGCGUCUAAAACACGGGCAGGACAGAGUCUAGAACACAGGCAGGACAGAGUCUAGAACACAGGCAGGACAGAGUCUAGAACACAGGCAGGACAGAGUCUAAAACACAGGCAGGACAGAGUCUAGAAAACAGGCAGGACAGAGUCUAAAACACAGGCAGGACAGAGACUAAAACACAGGCAGGACAGAGUCUAAAACACAGGCAGGACAGAGUCUAAAACACAGGCAGGACAGAGUCUAAAACACAGGCAGGACAGAGUCUAAAACACAGGCAGGACAGAGACUAAAACAUAGGCAGGACAGAGUCUAAAACACAGGCAGGACAGAGACUAAAACACAGGCAGGACAGAGACUAAAACAAAGGCAGGACAGAGACUAAAACACAGGCAGGACAGAGUCUAGAACACAGGCAGGACAGAGUCUAAAACACAGGCAGGACAGAGUCUAAAACACGGGCAGGACAGAGUCUAAAACACAGGCAGGACAGAGUCUAAAACACGGGCAGGACAGAGUCUAAAACACGGGCAGGACAGAGUCUAAAACACAGGCAGGACAGAGACUAAAACACAGGCAGGACAGAGUCUAAAACACAGGCAGGACAGAGACUAAAACACAGGCAGGACAGAGACUAAAACAAAGGCAGGACAGAGGCUAAAACACAGGCAGGACAGAGGCUAAAACACAGGCAGGACAGUGACUAAAACACAGGCAGGACAGAGGCUAAAACACAGGCAGGACAGUGACUAAAACACAGGCAGGACAGUGACUAAAACACAGGCAGGACAGGGGCUAAAACACAGGCAGGACAGGGGCUAAAACACAGGCAGGACAGAGUCUAAAACACAGGCAGGACAGAGUCUAAAACACAAGCAGGACAGGGUCUAAAACACAGGCAGGACAGAGACUAAAACACAGGCAGGAUAGAGGCUAAAACACUGGCAGAGGCCAGGCUAAAACACAGGAAGGACAAAGGCUAAAACACAGGCAGGACAGACGCUAAAACACAGGCAGGACAGACGCUAAAACACAGGCAGGACAGAGGCAAAAUCACAGGCAGUACAGAGUAUAAAACACAGGCAGGACAGAGGCUAAAACACAGGCAGGACAGAGGCUAAAACACAGGCAGGAUAGAGUUUAAAACACAGGCAGGACAGAGUCUAAAACACAGACAGGCCAUCAUUGUAAAUAAGAAUUUGUUCUUAGCUGACUUGCCUAGUUAAAUAAAGGUAAAAAAAAAAAAAAAAUACAAUUAAAUGAAAAUGAAAAUGUAAAAUAAAAGACAGGCAGAUCCCAGGGAGGGAUCACUGGAAACCAGCUACAGAUGAAGACAGGAGCCCACAGACUCAUUGGUUUGGAAGACAGUUCUGCUUUAACUGUCUAUGUACAUUCAGUAUAGAAAAGUGUUGGUAGUAAGUGUGGAGUUUUGGGCGGUCGUACAUACAAUGACUUGACGUUUCUGAGUGAGGUCCUCUCUGUUACAGUGUGAACUAUGUGUGGCAAAAGAGAGUGAGAUAACGUAAGGAGAAAAGGAUGAUGGGAUGGGGAAAGAGUAAAGAGACUUGCAGUUAAAAGGGAGAUAAAGGUGUGAUAUUGGGGAUGGG